UUGCACGCUGGCGGCAUGCUUUACCCCUGCAAGUCGCACGGUAACAGGCCUUCGGGUGCUGACGAGUGGCGAACGGGUGAGUAAUGCAUCGGAACGUACCCAGAGGUGGGGGAUAACGCAGCGAAAGCUGUGCUAAUACCGCAUGUGAUCUGAGGAUGAAAGCGGGGGACCGAGCAGCAAUGUUUGGCCUCGCGCCUUUGGAGCGGCCGAUGUCGGAUUAGCUAGUUGGUGGGGUAAAGGCCUACCAAGGCGACGAUCCGUAGCUGGUCUGAGAGGACGACCAGCCACACUGGGACUGAGACACGGCCCAGACUCCUACGGGAGGCAGCAGUGGGGAAUUUUGGACAAUGGGCGCAAGCCUGAUCCAGCAAUGCCGCGUGCGGGAAGAAGGCCUUCGGGUUGUAAACCGCUUUUGGCAGGAACGAAACGGUGUCCGCUAAUACCGGGCGCUAAUGACGGUACCUGCAGAAUAAGCACCGGCUAACUACGUG
rnacentral:rRNA from 1 species